CGAGGACCAAUUGGAGGGCAAGUCUGGUGCCAGCAGCCGCGGUAACUCCAGCUCCAAAAGCGUAUAUUAAAGUUGCUGCAGUUAAAAAGCUCGUAGUUGAAU